rnacentral:tRNA from 1 species
AUUGAUUUGGCAGAUAAGUGUAUUAAAUUUAGAAUUUAAUUAUGUAAAUUUAGUUUACAUUCAAUA